rnacentral:misc_RNA from 1 species
UAUGAAGAACGUAGCGAAAUGCGAUAAGUAAUGUGAAUUGCAGAAUUCAGUGAAUCAUCGAAUCUUUGAACGCACAUUGCGCCCGCCAGUAUUCUGGCGGGCAUGCCUGUUCGAGCGUCAUUACAACCCUCAGGCCCCCGGGCCUGGCGUUGGGGAUCGGCGGAGCCCCCCGUGGGCACACGCCGUCCCCCAAAUACAGUGGCGGUCCCGCCGCAGCUUCCAUCGCGUAGUAGCUAACACCUCGCGACUGGAGAGCGGCGCGGCCACGCCGUAAAACACCCAACUCUUCUGAAGUUGACCUCGAAUCAGGUAGGAAUACCCGCUGAACUUAAGCAUAUCAAUAAGCGGAGGA